rnacentral:rRNA from 1 species
AUACGGAGGGUGCGAGCGUUAAACGGAAUUACUGGGCGUAAAGCGCGCGUAGGCGGUAUAUCAAGUUAGGCGUGAAAGCCCCGGGCUCAACCCGGGAACUGCGCUUAUUACUGAUGAACUAGAGUCCGGGAGAGGGUGGCGGAAUUCCCAGUGUAGAGGUGAAAUUCGUAGAUAUUGGGAAGAACACCGGUGGCGAAGGCGGCCAUCUGGCCCGGAUCUGACGCUGAGGCGCGAAAGCGUGGGGAGCAAACAGGAUUAGAAACCCCAGUAGUCC